CCUACGGGAGGCAGCAGUGGGGAAUUUUGGACAAUGGGCGCAAGCCUGAUCCAGCAAUGCCGCGUGAGUGAAGAAGGCCUUCGGGUUGUAAAGCUCUUUUGUCAGGGAAGAAACGGCCGAGGCUAAUACCUUUGGCUAAUGACGGUACCUGAAGAAUAAGCACCGGCUAACUACGUGCCAGCAGCCGCGGUAAUACGUAGGGUGCAAGCGUUAAUCGGAAUUACUGGGCGUAAAGCGUGCGCAGGCGGUUUUGUAAGUCUGACGUGAAAUCCCCGGGCUCAACCUGGGAAUUGCGUUGGAGACUGCAAGGCUGGAGUCUGGCAGAGGGGGGUAGAAUUCCACGUGUAGCAGUGAAAUGCGUAGAGAUGUGGAGGAACACCGAUGGCGAAGGCAGCCCCCUGGGUCAAGACUGACGCUCAUGCACGAAAGCGUGGGGAGCAAACAGGAUUAGAUACCCUGGUAGUCCACGCCCUAAACGAUGUCUACUAGUUGUCGGGUCUUAAUUGACUUGGUAACGCAGCUAACGCGUGAAGUAGACCGCCGUGGGGAGUACGGUCGCAAGAUUAAAACUCAAAGUUAGUAAGUUGGACGGCGUGGAGACGUUCGACCGACGGACGACGACGGAGGGGAGGAGG
rnacentral:rRNA from 1 species